rnacentral:lncRNA from 1 species
GGGGAAAAGAAAAAUAAAAGCAACAGAGCCUUUCUUCUUUUGGGGAACAGAGGACUAAUAAAUGAGCUCUUUCUGCCUUCCUAAGUAUUAGGAAUGCUUUCAAAGCAUUCAGGGCAGAGGUGUGGCCCAAGGGGCUCGAGGGCUAUGAGAAGAUGGCAGCCACCUCAGGAACCCUUCACAGGGAAGGCAGCCCAGGUGUCCAGACCCAGCCGACACAGCACUUCCAUUAGCUUUCCGGAAACACAACUGGUUGGAGGUCAUUCAUGUUUGUCUGGGAAAAAAAGUCUGCAAUUCCUCUAUCAUUGGCACAAGUGAUUUAACUGGAGGAUCAUAGGAGUAGUUUAGCGCCUAGUACAAAAAAGCCCACUUAGACAGGUUCAGACAUUGGUACAUGGGCUUUGGGUUAUGAUGAUAUAGUUACUGGAUUCACAGUAAGCUGGUGUUAGCUGGUAUUACCUUUACAUUACCCUUAACAUUUUUCAGUUCCAUUAAUGAGGAAAUACAGUGAAGAUCUAGCUGUGAGGAGACUUUGGCUGAGUGUUUAUUGAAAUAAGAAAAACACUGGCAAAAAUUUUGUCAUUCUGAUCGGACCAAGACUAUGACAAAAAGUAGUUGAUUAUAUAAACGAUCUCAUCUUGUAUCAUUAUAAGAUUAUGUAGAAUGAAAGCAAGCAGUUCAAAGAACUUGAAUGACAGUGAGUAUAGAAACUCAUAAACCAAUUUAAAUCUUCAAACAAAUAAUGGGUUGUUCUGGCCUGCUCCAUUCUGAGCAGUAAUCAAGUAGCACUGCAACUAAUCACUCUAUCAGUAAGAUCUAUGCAAGGGGAAAGUUAUGCAGGAUACCUCUGACCUCCAUUCACAGCCAGAAAGCUUGGGAAAGAGCUGAGCAUAGGGACAUCCUCACUUGUGCAACAGCAGCCAGAAGCUGGGAAAGAAGAAAAUGUUGGCACAAAGCAUAAAAGUCAAACUGAAGGUUCAACAAGCAAGAGCUUAAAAGUGAAAGCCAGACCCCCACCAACCACAGGGAUGAUACAGAAUGGAGAGAUGAAGCUUUUGAAGUGUGGGCUGGCUCUCUGAUGGGAAGGCUGUAUCCUCUCUAUGCACACUUCACAGAAGAGCCUGUGGUAUAGAGUGUUCUAUCCAUUUCUUAAAUGUCUCUGCUGCUAAUGAAGUUGUCUUUGGCCCAAUGAAGUGAAAAGUUUCUUCUUAAAAAGGAAGACAAAGCCAACAACAAAACCAGCAACUAAAACCCACAAUAAUAGGAUUUAAAAACAAAACCAAAUGAGUUUAUAGUAACAGACUGGCUGCUAACCUUC